AGAGUUUGAUCCUGGCUCAGAAUCAACGCUGGCGGCGUGCCUAACACAUGCAAGUCGAACGAGAAAGGGGAGCAAUCCCUGAGUAAAGUGGCGCACGGGUGAGUAACACGUGACUAACCUACCCUGGAGUGGGGGAUAACUGAGGGAAACCUUAGCUAAUACCGCAUAAUACCCACGGGUCAAAGGAGCAAUUCGCUCUGGGAGGGGGUCGCGGCCGAUUAGUUAGUUGGCGGGGUAACGGCCCACCAAGACGAUGAUCGGUAUCCGGCCUGAGAGGGCGCACGGACACAUUGGAACUGAAACACGGUCCAGACUCCUACGGGAGGCAGCAGUGGGGAAUUUUGCGCAAUGGGGGAAACCCUGACGCAGCAACGCCGCGUGGAGGAUGAAGUCCUUCGGGACGUAAACUCCUUUCGAUCGGGACGAUUAUGACGGUACCGGAAGAAGAAGCCCCGGCUAACUUCGUGCCAGCAGCCGCGGUAAUACGAGGGGGGCGAGCGUUGUUCGGAAUUAUUGGGCGUAAAGGGUGCGUAGGCGGUUUGGUAAGUCUUAUGUGAAAUCUAUGGGCUCAACUCAUAGACUGCAUGAGAAACUGCCGGGCUGGAGUGUGGGAGAGGUGAGUGGAAUUCCCGGUGUAGCGGUGAAAUGCGUAGAUAUCGGGAGGAACACCUGUGGCGAAAGCGGCUCACUGGACCAUAACUGACGCUGAUGCACGAAAGCUAGGGGAGCAAACAGGAUUAGAUACCCUAGUAGUCC
rnacentral:rRNA from 1 species